rnacentral:rRNA from 1 species
CCUACGGGAGGCAGCAGUAAGGAAUAUUGGUCAAUGGGCGCAAGCCUGAACCAGCCAUGCCGCGUGCAGGAAGACGGCCCUAUGGGUUGUAAACUGCUUUUGAACAAGAGAAAACCUCGGUACGUGUACCGAGCUGAUAGUAUUGUUAGAAUAAGCAUCGGCUAACUUCGUGCCAGCAGCCGCGGUAAGACGAAGGAUGCAAGCGUUAUCCGGAUUCAUUGGGUUUAAAGGGUGCGUAGGCGGCCUGAUAAGUCAGUGGUGAAAUCUCUCAGCUUAACUGAGAAACUGCCAUUGAUACUGUCGGGCUUGAGUACAGAUGAUGUGGGCGGAAUAUGACAUGUAGUGGUGAAAUACUUAGAUAUGUCAUAGAACACCGAUUGCGAAGGCAGCUCACAAAACUGUAACUGACGCUGAGGCACGAAAGUGCGGGGAUCAAACAGGAUUAGAUACCCUGGUAGUCCGCACCGUAAACGAUGAUUACUCGUUNUUGGCAAUAUGACCGUCANCGACCAAGCGAAAGCGAUAAGAAUCCACCUGGGGAGUACGCCGGCAACGGUGAAACUCAAAGGGAAUUGACGGGCGNGAGAGNGCGACGGACGACGACGAGGGGAGGAGG